UAUACUAGAUAAAAACCUUUAAGAAGUUACUUUGUUCUUAUUUUUAUUUACUAUUUAGGGCAAAACUCACAUUAACAUUACAUGUAUAAGUCACAGCUGGCUUCAUGGGUGUAUGAAAAUGUAGUUAUGUUUAGAUGCAUCCUGCACUUGGUUUAAAGCCCUUCUCUCACCAUCUUGAAUGUUUAAUAACUUUUGUAGAGUCCCACAUAUUUAUUUUGCACCUGGCCCUGAAAACUAUUCAUCACUUAUAUUAAAUGUAAGAUUUUUUCAUAUUUGUAGCCCUGGCCAGGUAGCUCAGUCAGUUAGAAUGUUACCCUAAUACACCAAGGUUACAGGUUUGAUCCCUGGUCAUGGUACAUACAAGGAUCAACUAAUGAAUCAUAAAUAAGUGAAACAACAAAUUGAUGAUUCUUCCUCUCCCCCUAAUCUCAAUUUU